rnacentral:rRNA from 1 species
CCUACGUGUGGCAGCAGUAGGGAAUCUUCCACAAUGGGCGAAAGCCUGAUGGAGCAACGCCGCGUGGGUGAAGAAGGUCUUCGGAUCGUAAAACCCUGUUGUUAGAGAAGAAAGUGCGUGAGAGUAACUGUUCACGUUUCGACGGUAUCUAACCAGAAAGCCACGGCUAACUACGUGCCAGCAGCCGCGGUAAUACGUAGGUGGCAAGCGUUAUCCGGAUUUCUUGGGCGUAAAGGGAACGCAGGCGGUCUUUUAAGGCUGAUGUGAAAGCCUUCGGCUUAACCGGAGGAGUGCAUUUGAAACUGGGAGGCUUGAGGGUAGGAGAGGAGAGUGGAACUCCAAGUGUAGCGGUGAAAUGCGUAGAUAUAUGGAAGAACACCAGUGGCGAAAGCGGCUCUCUGGUCUGUAACUGACGCUGAGGUUCGAAAGCGUGGGUAGCAAACAGGAUUAGAUACCCGUGUAGUC